AAGUAUGCAAGACUCAGUGAGGAAAUCUGUGCUUUGCAUCAGGCUCUAAGGUGGAUUCCCCUUGGCAGUGGGGAUCCUGUUUCCACCUUGAAUGAGGUGGAAAAGCCCUGUGCAAAAACGAGGGAUGCAAUCAUGGCAUCAAAAGAUACUCCAAGGAGACUGGCAACAAGGCAGCCUUACCUCUGGGGCUUCCUGACUGUGAAGUCCCGAACUUCAAAACUUAAAUACAUUUAUUCUGAAUUUUUUAGUGUACGGUAACAGAAAGAAUGCCAGGUAAAGUGUGACAGUUUUCAGCCACACACAAUCAAUGAAAUUACUAUGGGUUGUUGUGUUUUGCCCUAAUGAGUGAUCAUGAUUUGAGCAGAGAUCUCAUUACUUUUUAAAAGUCUGUUAAUACCUAGGUUAAAUUCCUAAAGCGAUGGCUUUCCAUAAUGGCACAGUGGUCCAGAAUUACCCUAAUAUUACACCAGCAGUAUUUAAGAUGACUUUUCGGGCCCCACUCCAUCAGGGGAGUUAAAUCCUUGUUCAUUUCCUUAUCAAUGAGCAGAGGGUGUGUGCUUCAUAGUGGCCUAAGCAACUCUGUUCUGCUAGUGGCAAAAAACACAAAAAUUCAUUUCACUGCAUAGUUCUUUAAAAAGUAAUAAACACUAGAAUUAGUGCAUUAGAUAUCUUUUAACAGCUUAAUUUAUUUUCCCCAUCUCGAACUGACAUACAAACAAGGAAUGCGCUUGUGAAUCCUAACUCAAAACGUAUGCAUAGGACACAACCAGCAUGUGAACUACCUCUGCAAAAAUUAGAAAAACCAGAAAAAAAACCUAAAGCUGGCAUUCGUGUCACUGCAGUGAGUACAUCCAUUGUUCAAAAACCAAAUCCAGGUCAGUGAAUCAGAAAGAGCAGCUGGGAGCUGCUGGGCAGCACUGCUGCAGCCCCAAUAGGAGACAGCGUGGGGCAGUCCCAGUGACCUGACCACUCACACCUCACCUCUGCUGCAGGGCAACGGGAUGGAGGGAGGAGGGAAGCACGCUGCAGUUGUCUUUUCAUGCACAGCUUUAUUCCCACAGCAGCCCAGCCAUGCUGUCUAUCUCUCCGAGAGCGGUAGAGCCAAGGCUCAGCUCUCUCCUUGCUCCAGCCAAGGCUAGGCUCCUUGAUCCACUGCCCAGCUGUGUGCUACCCCCUGCUUCAGAGCAGGACACAGCUGCAGAGCAUCUUCCCCAAGAGCCCUGGAGAAAGCCCUGAACAGCCUGCCCUGCUCCCACUGCUGACCCCACCUGGAGCAGUGUGGGCCCCCUGGGUCUCCUCCAACCUGUACAAGGAUAUGGUUUUCGUGAGAAAAGAAGUACCUAUCUUGUGCUUGCCUUCUUUGCUUUGCUUUGCUGCCAUAUGAAACUUCAACAAAUAGAUAAAGUGAAGUAGACCAAAAGAGUCAAUACAUGAGCACCAACACAGCCAUUACCAAAAUGAUGACUUAACUGCAAGCCUUUAUUUGUCUUGAUGGUUGGUCUAAGACAGCAGACUGAUGGUUAAAACUUUUUUGUUGUUGUUUUUAGUGUUUUACCAGUUGUGUCACCAUCAGGGCUGAACCGUGGAUGUGUACUUUGGGAGAAAGAGGAAACUUGUACGCUGCCCACCUGAGUGCGGAUGGGUCUUCUGCAGUGGAGAAGAAGCUGCCCUGGCAACCAGCAAGUAAUGGCACAUUCAGACCAGCCUAAAUUCCCACCUUCCCAUUAACAAAAGUUGGAAGAGGCAUAGCAAUAUGUGCUACAACUACUGGGGCCGGAGGGACAAAUAAAUAUAGAAACAAGGACAAAAAUCCUGGAGACAUAAAAGCAUCUCAACAACAGAACAUCCUUGGAAUCAACAGAUGUUAUUUGUACACAUUUUGUUAUGCUGUCAGAUAAUUCAUUUAAUUAAAGGGCACGUGUAUUCACGUCUCACCAGUGUAUUAUGAACAGCACUUAAAUUAUGGCAGCGCAUAAACCCAGGACGUUAGUAUUUUAUCCACCCUUACCAUAAAGACUGACUCCAUCAAUUUUAAUACACAGUGGAUUUAAGAAGUUGGCUACGGCUUCAUGGCAGCCUGCCCAGCUCCUUUGCUCAAUCAAGCAAUAGUUGUCUUUGACCAAAAAGGAAAAAAAACAGCAGACAGUGUCAUUGCUGAGUGUCUGCUGGCAUUAGCUUUCAGCACAGGAGCAAGCAGAUCACACUCAAAGACACGAAUAUUUUGGGUAACCGUAACAAUAUAGAAGUGGAUGGAUUACUAGUUCAUUAUUGAAACUAUCCACUUCAGAUUUGUUUUGCAAAACUUACUAUGCCACCUAUAUCCAUUAAUUUGUUUGUGCAUAUGAACAGUGUGCUGUGGAGACAACGUAGACACCCAUACCACACACUUUACCCCUGUAUAUACACCACCAGCACGUCGGGGUGCCCUGGGCAAGGUCACCGAGCUCCUAAUGCUGUGUGGGAUGUGGCAGAGGAAUCCAUCUUUACCAAUUAGCCUUCAUUACACACGAUGCUGCUCAUAAAUCUUGAUGUACAGCUUUCCAGUGUAAUAACUCUGCCUCGCACUCACGCGGACCCUCUCAAUCUUUGACUUUACGAAGCAUUUCACAAACACAAAUUAGCCCUGUGUUUGCACUCCCCAGGUGAAUGUGCUGCUAUGGAGAGAUGCCGCAGGCGUGACCCGACGUCCCGCAGCACCCGCGCCGUGCUAUCCCGCUGCUCUCACCCGGGGACGGGAGUCCCAGGAGCAAUUAGGUGCUUUAAAAGCUAUGGUAGCGCCUGAAACGAAGCUUUCCAUUUUUCUCUGAGACUCACGGUCCUCUCCACAUGCAAAUUCCCCGACGAACGCACCUGAUCCUGCCAGGGACUCAUAAAACCGACGGCGGUAGCAGGUUACUGAGAUAAACCCCAGUGAUAUGGCUGUAUUUCAUAAUCAGCAGCAGAACAGAACUGGCAAGCCUUCACUGAUUUCUGUGGCCGGCACUGACAAAAAUCUUUCCAAUUUCAGAUUCCAUAAUGCAGCCUCAUCCAAUCCUAAUAAAGUCGCUAUGAAAACUCCAGCGUAUUUGUUUUGACAACAGGUUCUAACAACAAAGCAGUGGAGCUGUUGCCAAGACCAACUUACUUGUAAGUAAGAACUUUAGCUACGCAACUGCUCUUGUGCACACACACUUUCCCAGACUUUAAGCUACUGACUGAUGGGAGGAUAUUGCCAAUAACAAUAUGUUGUAAGCUGUGCAUUUUUACAGAGCUUCCUUUGCUACCUGUUGCACAUCUACUAUUUAACUUAUUUAGCAGAUUUUUGAAAAUAUUUAAUGGAAUUGAAAUGCAGCCAUUUCUGGAGUUGAGCAGAGCAGCUGCGUAAUGGCAAAGCAAUGCCACUAACAGUUUUCGACGGGAAAUAAAGAAUGUCGUGUCCAGUUGCAGUAGGGGAUAGGAUUUCAGGUAGGCAAAUUCUAAUGACCAAAGUCACAAUUUGGCUGAGGCCCAAGUUAACCCCUAUUAACCCAAACAAUUAUAUGAUGUCUCUAUUCAUUACAUUAAGGCCGAUUUUAAAUUUCUUUUUGCUACCCCAGUAAACAAGGAAUGGUCAGCUGGUUGUGGUACUUUCUGGGUCAUAUGUGAGGUAAAGUCUGGUUGCGGCUGAGCAUCCUUUCCCACAGCCCCAUGGGGAAGGUUUCCCUGGCACACCAGAGCCCAGCUAAGCCCUCUCCAUCACCCAGCUCUGGCCUUACACUGGUCUGUGUUCCAGCAGCUCAGUAGUACCCUGUUUCCUGCUGGUGUUAAGGAACUUAAGCUCAGGAAGAAUGCUUGUUUCAUGACAUUUAACAAAUCUGGGUAAUCCCACUGAGAAGCAGGAUGUUCAUGCUGUGAAGAAGGGGCUGGCCUAGGUGGAUCUACAACUCUUUCCAUCUAAAAAUGUCUCUGUUUCUGUGAGAACAUUUUGGUAGUGUCAGGCAGCACCUGUAUUCCAUUAACUCCAAAAGCAUUUCAUUGUUUACAGUAACCAGGAAAUGUCGACGUCUGUGUUAGAUUAGCAAAUCAGCAGUAACAACUGCAGUUUCAGAUUUUAGAGCUGAACAGAGAGCAGUUUACUGUGAGUUGCUGAGGGCUUUACUUUUUUUGGUUGAAACAUGAACAGGCCCAUAGUACUGCCCUCAACACUGCUCAAGACAGCAGGGGGGAAGAAAGUUAUCAAAGGACGACCCAGUUUGGUUCAGUAAUGGCUUCAUAUCAAUGGGCACGUUUUGAUGUGGAAACACUGGAACUGUUUUGCUGUAAAAUAACAUCUUUUCUCUUGUAGCACCAGCUGUAAAACAUGAACACCUUGUUGAAUCACACUCCAGAAAUCUGAAAUGGGAGCCCUGCCAAAGCUCUGGGCUUCCUUUUUGCUUUGACUGUGGCACAGCUCUUGAUUCUGUUCGUAUCAUGUUCUUACCACUUACGCUUUUCAGACACCUCAGCCAAGCUCCUUCCCAGUGCAACUCUCUGAACUCAAUGAGGCUGCAGUAGAAGAGCAGUUGUCUCAGUAUGUCUGUAAAUUAACCAGCCAUUUAAGUUGGAGAGUGUCAUUGAUAAGCACUAACAGCACAGGAGUGGCAAAAGGAAGAUAUCUUCCAGUUAGUUUUGGACAGCUGACAUGAACUCGGCUGUCAGAUAAGUCUUACAGACUGUGGGAAAUGCUGACUGAGAACAGUCACACUUGCUGCCUGUAACCAUAGGAGAAAAACAGACCAAGAAUUCAGAGGAAAUCUCGACAUUAUCUGCUCCCUCUGCGCCUACCAGUCCGGCAAUCCAAACCACAGCUGAGUAUCUACUGCCUCUGCCCAUGGCCCAAACAAAUGUGUUUUCUUGGCAAAGUUUUUCCUCACUUUUAGGGGCAAGAGAGGAGGCAAAGAGAAGAAAAGAGCCUCAAGUGUGUGUGGGGGAGUGCUUUCUGCCAAAAAAACAGGAGCUGCUUUUCUGUAUCAUUUAAAGGACAAUCCUGAAACACUAAGGCUGUAGACAGAGGUGACUGCACUCCAAAGGACAGUUUUCCAAAGGACAUCUCUACACAACAGAUCUCCAGUGCUUCAUCACCUUGGUCUCUGCUGACACUAUCAGUGAUGGUUUGCCGCAGGCCUCGGUAAAAGGAGCAUACAACCCAGGGGAACAAAGCCAUCCAAAAGGAAUACUCAGUGCCCAUCCAAUUUGAAUCAUCUAGGAAUAAUGUGUAGCCGUUGCACACCAGCACUUGAAGAGAAACAGUAUUUCCUCCCCAGUGCUCAUAAUCAUAAGUGAUCAUAAGACACAAAGUCUAUCAAUACCUAAGGAAGCACAAUAUAUAUUGCACUUACAUCACUGUUCCACAUACACACCCUAGCAAGGCAGACAACAAAAAGACCAUGCGAACAAAAGCAGCAAAUGAAAAGGUGCACUUUAAAAUAAGCUACUGAGUAUUUUGAGUUCUGCAGUACAUCAGCCAGCCAUUGAGUGUAUUGCAUCCAUUCUGCCUUAUAAGUAGGUGAACAUACACAAGAGGAGAAAUUUGAGUUUAACUGUGGAAAUUCACUUUACAUUUUUGCUAAGAGUCCAGAGUGACUCUUAUUGUCAGAGAUUUUGACAAACAUGCAUUGGUGAGCAGACAAGAAGGAAAGAGGACAAAAAGCAUGGCAAACUUUAUGCACAAUAUGUUUACAAAACAAAAAAUGCCAACAUUGGCACUCCACUAGCAAUGUCAAACUGUGCCAUGCAUCUGCUUUACCCAUGAAAAGACACUGGUAAUCAAAACUAGCAGCAAAGAAUCCCUAGCAGGAUGGGAACCACAACCUGGACACCACUUGGCCCAUGAACCAAAGUACAAGAAAAAAAGCUCUUGACAAAUGAUUUGAAUGUUGACUUCAAUGUAAAUGUUUAAACCUUUGCCUUUUUAGAUGAAGAAAAUUAUCAGUAAUGUAAAGCUGUGAUGUUUUUGAAGGAUGCCAACAUGCCUCAGAUCAACUUAAUUAGCAGUCUGAGUAAGCUGUAGUUUUAAGACUUAGCUAAAAGAAACAAUACAUAUUUCAUGAAACAUAAUGUUCCUCAGCUUCCCAUUUUCUCAGAUUAGUGGAAUUAUAUGAGGCAGAAAUGCUGUAUCAUGUAUCCUU